rnacentral:rRNA from 1 species
CACUCCUACGGGAGGCAGCAGUGGGGAAUUUUGGACAAUGGGCGAAAGCCUGAUCCAGCAAUGCCGCGUGAGUGAAGAAGGCCUUCGGGUUGUAAAGCUCUUUUGUCAGGGAAGAAACGGUGAAAGCUAAUAUCUUUUGCUAAUGACGGUACCUGAAGAAUAAGCACCGGCUAACUACGUGCCAGCAGCCGCGGUAAUACGUAGGGUGCAAGCGUUAAUCGGAAUUACUGGGCGUAAAGCGUUCGCAGGCGGUUUUGUAAGUCUGAUGUGAAAUCCCCGGGCUCAACCUGGGAAUUGCAUUGGAGACUGCAAGGCUAGAAUCUGGCAGAGGGGGGUAGAAUUCCACGUGUAGCAGUGAAAUGCGUAGAUAUGUGGAGGAACACCGAUGGCGAAGGCAGCCCCCUGGGUCAAGAUUGACGCUCAUGCACGAAAGCGUGGGGAGCAAACAGGAUUAGAAACCCGGGUAGUCCCA